AUUGCUUUGCCCCCUUCUUCGAGCAUUACGGCUUUGCCGGGUUUCAUCCUUUGAAAUGAACCGCUCGACCAACACUAAACUCAAACAGGGCAAAU
rnacentral:ncRNA from 1 species